rnacentral:rRNA from 1 species
CCUACGGGAGGCAGCAGUGGGGAAUAUUGGACAAUGGGGGGAACCCUGAUCCAGCCAUGCCGCGUGUGUGAAGAAGGCCCUCGGGUUGUAAAGCACUUUCAGUGAGGAAGAACGCCUGGUGGUUAAUACCCAUCAGGAAAGACAUCACUCACAGAAGAAGCACCGGCUAACUCCGUGCCAGCAGCCGCGGUAAUACGGAGGGUGCGAGCGUUAAUCGGAAUUACUGGGCGUAAAGCGCGCGUAGGUGGCUUGAUAAGCCGGUUGUGAAAGCCCCGGGCUCAACCUGGGAACGGCAUCCGGAACUGUCAAGCUAGAGUGCAGGAGAGGAAGGUAGAAUUCCCGGUGUAGCGGUGAAAUGCGUAGAGAUCGGGAGGAAUACCAGUGGCGAAGGCGGCCUUCUGGACUGACACUGACACUGAGGUGCGAAAGCGUGGGUAGCAAACAGGAUUAGAUACCCGGUAGUC